rnacentral:lncRNA from 1 species
UGAAGCUGUAUGCUGCUCAUACAGAAAGCAACAUCGGGCGCGUGCAGCAUCCGGAGGACCGUGCGCGUUCACGCGUCGCGAGAGGAGGAAAGCAAGCGUAAGAGAGGAGGUGAAGGGGGGGAAUGAUAGGGUAAUGAAAAUGAUGGCGACCGAUGCAGAGGAGAUAAGAAUCCAAACAAGCCCCUGUCCCAUCCCCGACAACAGUCUCAGCACUCUGUCCAUCAAAAUUACGCGGAAAAACCAGGAUAGACACUGGAAGUUGCGGUUUAUUUACCUGCAGUGCUAUUUCUUGACCAUUGCAACAAUAUUGGGAACUGGAAUAUUAGGUCUUCCAGUAACGAUAGCCCAAGCUGGAAUGGUGCCUUUCCUUGUCUCUUUUCUCAUUGGCUUCUUUGUCCAGGCCUUGCUUAUCUACUUGUUUGUGGAACUCCUUCAAAAAUGUCAGGUGGUGCAGCUCGAAUCUCUAAAGACAGGUGUCGCAGAGUGUAUUGUGAUGGAUCAGGUGGGGUUGGAGGAUCCUGCCCCCACAGAGGAAGAGGAUGAGGACGAUGGUGAAAAUGCACAAGCAGAUACAGGUUUACUGCAGCCCGAUGCAGUAGCUCUGCACAACCAAGCAGAGAGCCUGCAGCCCAACCUUCAUCUGCUUGGCUUCCUCUUCCUCUCCCGGCCCAUGAGCCACGCCUUCAACUGCAUCCUACUCUUCCAGUUUAUAUCUAUUGGAAUCAGUUACGUCUUAGCUGGCAGUGAAGCCUACGCUGCUCUUCUUAAUGUCAGCCACAUCUACGUGAUCCCGGCCUUCACCUCGAUUCUAACUCUUGCCAUCUUACUAGCCCACACAGUCAUCCAGCCAAUCACUUCGCUGCUUACCCUGCUGAAAGGAAUCCUGCUCAUUGUCACGGUGGCUGUAACAUUUGCAGUGGGGUCAGAGGUCGGCCUUCAGAGCAGCAGUGACUUCAGUCAGAUUGGGAAACCUUUCCUAAUGGGCACAGUGGCUCUGGGAGGGAUUGUAAACGUGAUGCCUCUGCUCUUCUCACAAAUCUCACACAACAAAACACAGAUCUUGUGGUUUCGGAGAGCAGUGAUUGGAGGUCUGACAACCUGCACUGUGCUCAACAUCCUCUGGUGCUGGGCAGUGCUGGAGAUCGUGCCCCAGACGUCAAUACCAGAGAGGCGGCUGGCAGCCCAGCUCGACCCCAGCAGUCUGUCUGCUCCUCAUUCCUCCGUCACCCCUCUGCUGUACUCCAACAUCUCACUAGAAGAGUCUGAGAAAGCUGGAGAGAUUGCAACCAUUCCACUGACGAAGAUUAUUAAUGAGCGUUACAGGGCGUACGCCUGGGUGGCUGACCUGAUCCAGGUGUUCAUAGCCAUGAGUGUCACUGUGUCCUUCCUCAUCAUGGGAUCUGCCAUGAAACACACCAUUGAUGGCCUGGUGAGCUCGUUGUGGGGCAGCAGGAUGGAGUGGCUGUCUAAAGCCUGGGAGAGAAAGCUGCCCAACAAACAUCACGUCUGCUCGGCCACAAGCACGGCUAAAGGAUUCAUGUCCCUGCUCGCAUUCAUCGCCAUCUUCAUCGUGUCAGAGUGUGAUCCCCGGGGUUUUGUUGUCAUGUUGGACAAAGUUGUUUCGUUCUCCCUCAACACUGAAGUGGGACUGUUUGUGUUCAUCAUGCUAAGAGAGUCCAGAGAAGAGCGAUUCAAACACCUUGCGGUCCCUCUGCCGGUCGGCGACUGUGUGUUCAGCCUCAGUUGGCUGCUCCCCACCUACUUCCUGUUUGCAGUAACCUACGACGUCCUGCAGACCGUGGCAGACGUGGCUCAUUACAUCACUUUGUACAGCCACAGUCAGGAAGCACAGAACCACAAUAUGACGAGGAGUCUACCAGCAGCCAACGUCUCCGUGCUGCUCUGA